CAGUAGGGUGCCAUCAAGAGGUGUAUUUGGAAAUAUCCCUAAUACAGGUU
rnacentral:rRNA from 1 species